ensembl:lncRNA
CAAACUCAGCUGCUGUUCAUUUGGUUCUGCUUUCCUUUAUGCUUUAGGAUGGCAGUGGAUAUGACUCAUGUCAGUGGAUAUGUCUAUCUGAAUCCAGAUGACCUGUGGAGAAAUGCUGCAGAAGAAGGGAAAUGGAUUGUUGCCUAACUGGAUUAAAGCAUCUCCUGCUUUAUGGACAGACUCUGAUAUGCAGUGAAACAUGGUCUGGAGGCAAUUUUGUUUCAUACCAAUGCAAAGCGCAACCUCAAUUGUUAAAAGGCACACACUUGUGCUGGACUUGGGAACAGUGGCUGUAGAGAUUAUUACCAGUCCAAUUACCAGCUCUGGUAGAAGCUACUGCCUGGGAUGAUCAAAUAUUAUCUUCAUUUGAAAUCAAAUUUUAUCUGCUUCCAGACUGAGACUGUUCAUGAAGCAGAAAAACAAUACCAAAGCAAAACCUGACUAAACAAAACAAGUAUCAACUUCAAAAACAAUGAUUUCUUGGAGCAGCUACAAUGCCUGGAAGAGGGUCUCCAUGUAGUUUGGCUACAGAAUGCACACAGCAGUAGAUACGCUUGACGUUAUCUGUAGGAGGAUAAAAGCCCACACAGCAGCUACUCUGUACUGGACAAAUUUGAAGCUAUUGGGAACUGUUUCAGUCCUUUCAAAAUGUUACCACAUGCACAUCAGAGGCUGCGGUACUUUCUGGCCUAAUUUAAUCACUGCUAUGUGGAAGAUAAUCUUUCAGACUAUCACACAGCGUAGGAUUUGGGUCUGGCACCCUUCAGUUUUGAACUUCAGUUGUCCAAGACAGCAUCUCUUACAGAAACUAAAUCCAAAUAUAAAGCUGAUCAUCACAAUUCGAAACCCAAAAAUGUGCAGAAAUGAAAAAAAUAAAGCAAGAAUGUCAUUGCUUAAUAUUAAACCGUCUGUUGUUCAAGAUUUUGACAGUGGGACAGAGACUUUUUCCUUUUCUGAAGAUAAUAUAUCAGGGACAGUACUCUUAAAUAGUUUAAUGAGGUAUGUAUCUUAUGAUUUUCCGCGAUUCUCUCAUCUUUUCCCACUAAACAGAAAUCUGCAGUUACAGCAAAUAAAGCAUUCAGUGAAGAAAAAUAAAGCCGUAUUAGCUAGCAAGUGUUGAAUAAUACGUGUUCAAAUCCAAGUUAGAAAUGUAUGUUGUCUUUUAAUGUGUUUAAAGCUUUUAACUUGUGGAGUGAUAUAUAAAAAAACAAUAAAUAAGUCUGCUGUCGUGGAAUGAGUGUAAUCACAGCCUUCAAAUGUGAUAUAUUUUUUAUGUAGAAAGCUGAAGUGUGACUAGAUUCAGAUGCCUGUGUGAUGGAUUGUUUAGAAAUGAAGUAGAUGUCUCUUCCAAGUAAUAAGCUCCACUCAGCUUCUUUUUAAGAUUCUUUGUUAAAAUAAACACAGAGGUUGUCCUCUACUCACCGCCAUGGUAGUUAAUUAGCUAACAGUCAUUCAAAAUGUUGUAGUUGUCAAUACAAUGCUUCUUGUGGAUGAAAACAACCUAAAGAAGGUUUAUAUUCUCCAAAGCUUUUUUCCCACAAUGUCAG